CAUUAUUAGAUCACAUUUUGUUCGAAUGAGGGGCUACGAUUUCACGUUUAUCAAUAGCAUCCUUCAGAUUUAGAUAUCUAAUGUCAUCAAAAAGAAGGCGGGGAGGAGGAGACACUGAAAUUCACAGCGGCGGAGAACCAACUUGGCAAGAAGCAGCAGAGAUCAGAAGGCGAGGGCGCCAAGCUGCCUAUAUACUGGCUGUACCGAGAACACUGGGUCACGAUCUAAAUUUGGGAAUUCGCAACGUAUCUAGAAUUCGUUUUGAAAUUGGGAAAUGAAGAUGGAAUGAAAUACGACGCAUGUUCCCAUUUUAAAACUUGUAGAAGUUGGACAAGAAGAAAUAUAAACAUUUCCUCGCUCAUGCACUGCACAGGUACAUUCAGUAGUCGGCGCCAACUGAAUUCUGGACAUAAUUUAUGCGUCAUAUUUCCAUCACGUGAUUAAACGCUCGAAUUAUUAUUUUUUCUCCGAAGAUGCAAGUACGCUCAACAAAACCGACGCUACGAACGGGACAGAAUAUACUUUAGAAACCAUUUUAAAGGCAGUUGGUGAAUCUUCAUACCUUGGAAUAUCAACAGGAAAAACUUGGAACAAAAAAUUAGUUUUCAACGUUUCAUUCUUUAGCAGGAAACUCUUCACUUUUUGUGUGCGGCCUAUAUAGACACCACUUAAAAGGUAGAGCUUCGCCGAGACUUUCCAAACCUUACAGCGGGUUUGUUGAUGGAUCUCCGGACGGUCGUUCUACCCUUGAUAAUCAAUUUUGAACUUGAUGAUUUUGUGAAUAUCAGCGGCCAGAGACAUGUUUAUGAAGCUAUUGAGAAAAAUUCUCUCAAUGGAACUGAGAUGAAAAUUGGUUUUGAUGCUAACUUUGUGUUGUGACCAUGGAUACAUAACGAUACUGUCAUUGAAUUGGAUUUGAUUGAAUUGGAUUGGAUUGGACAGAUGAACAUGCUGAGACUAAUCAAACGUUGCUGUAUGAGUGAGUCCCUUUUACCCGUAGAACAAUACGGCAAUAUCACUUAAUGAUCUUAAUGAAACUAUGAAUUUUAUGGAAAUUGGUUAAGUUUAGGUUUUAGUACCAGGAUUCGUAGCGUAAGUUCAUUUACCCCCCCCCCCGUUAGUAUAGGCGCCUGGCCGAAACGUAUUCUUUAGCCUUUUUCCAUAAAAUUCAUCGUGUCAUAUCAAGAAGAUUGCUGUGUUGUCACCUACUGGUAAUCAAAGUUAGUUUCAUAUUUGUUUUUUAUGUUUGCCGAAAGCU